rnacentral:lncRNA from 7 species
ACUAUUUGUUGAGGCAACUCUACUUAACAUGUCAAAUCAGGGAUUCAUGCAUCACAUAUAUUGCAUAUUGAACAUUACAUGUGCAAAUAGUUCAAAUAACAGCACAAAAAACGUGAAAAGGUAUAUAUGUAUUGGGAUUUAAGACACCUUUGUAUAUUCUGCCAUAUCAAAUAACUUAGAACAGUUUAAUGAUUUCCUAAAAGCCCAGUGAAGUAGCAUGAGCAUUACAGUAACUCACAAUUUCCCAAAAAAAGAGACAGAAGUGGAGUAUGAUGAAAAGAAACUGAGGAUAAGA